rnacentral:rRNA from 1 species
CCCUUUGGGGUGUGACUGCGUACCUUUUGUAUAAUGGGUCAGCGACUUAUAUUCUGUAGCAAGGUUAACCGAAUAGGGGAGCCGGAGGGAAACCGAGUCUUAAUUGGGCGUUAAGUUGCAGGGUAUAGACCCGAAACCCGGUGAUCUAGCCAUGGGCAGGUUGAAGGUUGGGUAACACUAACUGGAGGACCGAACCGACUAAUGUUGAAAAAUUAGCGGAUGACCUGUGGCUGGGGGUGAAAGGCCAAUCAAACCGGGAGAUAGCUGGUUCUCCCCGAAAGCUAUUUAGGUAGCGCCUCGUGAAUUCAUCUCCGGGGGUAGAGCACUGUUUCGGCUAGGGGGCCAUCCCGGCUUACCAACCCGAUGCAAACUGCGAAUACCGGAGAAUGUUAUCACGGGAGACACACGGCGGGUGCUAACGUCCGUCGUGAAGAGGGAAACAACCCAGACCGCCAGCUAAGGUCCCAAAGUCAUGGUUAAGUGGGAAACGAUGUGGGAAGGCCCAGACAGCCAGGAUGUUGGCUUAGAAGCAGCCAUCAUUUAAAGAAAGCGUAAUAGCUCACUGGUCGAGUCGGCCUGCGCGGAAGAUGUAACGGGGCUAAACCAUGCACCGAAGCUGCGGCAGCGAACGUAUCACUUAAAGCGAUUCAGCGGGUUACGAUUGACGGAGCGAAGCGACGUCAAAGCGUAUACAAAGUCGAGUCGGUUUAAGGAUACGUUCGUUGGGUAGGGGAGCGUUCUGUAAGCCUGCGAAGGUGGCCUGUGAGGGUUGCUGGAGGUAUCAGAAGUG